AGAGUUUGAUCAUGGCUCAGAACGAACGCUGGCGGCAUGCCUAACACAUGCAAGUCGGACGCCGCUGUCGCCUUCGGGCGGCAUGUGGAGUGGCGGACGGGUGAGUAACGCGUAGGAAUCUGCCCGGAAGUGGGGGACAACCGCUGGAAACGGCGGCUAAUACCGCAUACGCCCCAAGGGGGAAAGGNUUCAGCCGCUUUCGGAGGGUCCUGCGUUCGAUUAGCUUGUCGGUGAGGUGACGGCUCACCGAGGCGAUGAUNGAUAGCUGGUCUGAGAGGAUGAUCAGCCACACUGGGANUGAGACACGGCCCAGANUCUUACGGGAGGCANCANUGGGGAAUAUUGGACAAUGNGNGAAACGCNUGAUACACGCAAU
rnacentral:rRNA from 1 species